UACGAAGGGGGCGAGCGUUGUUCGGAUUUACUGGGCGUAAAGGGCGCGCAGGCGGCUCAUUUUGUCAGGCGUGAAAGCCCCGGGCUUAACCUGGGAGGUGCGUUUGAUACGGAUGGGCUAGAGUUCGGGAGAGGAGCGUGGAAUUCCCAGUGUAGAGGUGAAAUUCGUAGAUAUUGGGAAGAACACCGGUGGCGAAGGCGGCGCUCUGGACCGAGACUGACGCUGAGGCGCGAAAGCGUGGGGAGCAAACAGG
rnacentral:rRNA from 1 species